UACGGGGGGGGCAAGCGUUGUUCGGAAUUACUGGGCGGAAAGGGCUCGUAGGCGGCCAACUAAGUCAGACGUGAAAUCCCUCGGCUUAACCGGGGAACUGCGUCUGAUACUGGAUGGCUUGAGUUUGGGAGAGGGAUGCGGAAUUCCAGGUGUAGCGGUGAAAUGCGUAGAUAUCUGGAGGAACACCGGUGGCGAAGGCGGCAUCCUGGACCAACACUGACGCUGAGGAGCGAAAGCCAGGGGAGCGAACGGG
rnacentral:rRNA from 1 species